rnacentral:rRNA from 1 species
GACGAACGCUGGCGGCGUGCCUAAUACAUGCAAGUAGAACGCUGAAGGAGGAGCUUGCUUCUCUGGAUGAGUUGCGAACGGGUGAGUAACGCGUAGGUAACCUGCCUGGUAGCGGGGGAUAACUAUUGGAAACGAUAGCUAAUACCGCAUAAGAGUAGAUGUUACAUGACAUUUGCUUAAAAGGUGCAAUUGCAUCACUACCAGAUGGACCUGCGUUGUAUUAGCUAGUUGGUGGGGUAACGGCUCACCAAGGCGACGAUACAUAGCCGACCUGAGAGGGUGAUCGGCCACACUGGGACUGAGACACGGCCCAGACUCCUACGGGAGGCAGCAGUAGGGAAUCUUCGGCAAUGGACGGAAGUCUGACCGAGCAACGCCGCGUGAGUGAAGAAGGUUUUCGGAUCGUAAAGCUCUGUUGUAAGAGAAGAACGAGUGUGAGAGUGGAAAGUUCACACUGUGACGGUAUCUUACCAGAAAGGGACGGCUAACUACGUG